rnacentral:SRP_RNA from 1 species
GCUGGGUGUGGUGGCUCACACCUGUAAUCCCAGCACCUUAGGAGGCUGAGGCGGGUGGAUCACUUGAGGCCAGGAAUUUGAGACAAGCCUGACCAACAUGGUGAAACCCCGUCUCCA